GACACGAUAUGAUGAUGAUGUUGAUGAUAUUUCUAUCUUUGGCGUAACGGACGGUGUAGAUGCAUGAACGGCGUGUCGUGAGAAACUGGGCUUCUGAAGGUAACUGCAUUGAAGAGUUUUGUUGCCCGGGACCGACUGAAUCCGUCUUCAACAAACAACAAAGCAAUCACUCACCAUGACUGCCCUCUUCAAUUUCCAAUCCCUUCUCCUCGUUAUCGUCCUGAUCAUCUGUACAAGUGCCUACGCCCAUUCGAUAAUGCCGGGCAUUAUGGACCGCAACCAGAACGGCUUUUUCGGGAUAUUCUGGAAAUGCGCCCGGGUUGGGGAACGGCUAAGCCCGUACGUCAGUUUGUGUUGUUUGGCGAUGGCGAUCUCUCUUUUCUUUGGACAGUGAAAAAGGGAAGAGUUAAACCUCUUCCUCUCGCGAGGAUUCUCUAUUACCGUACAGGAAUGCAUGGCGUUGGGAGUUUCGUUUGUUCGUGAAAUAGGGCAUUUAUGCUCUUCUUCUGCAGGAUUAGAUUUUUCGGAACAUGGCAAUCAAGUUUUUGAAAUUUCCGCAUGAGAUUGUUUCUCGUUUGUCACUCAAGGGUCUGUCUAUAGCGUUCUUGAGCUUAUAUUCAUACAAUGAGUAUACACCUAAUAAAAUGCCACAUUUCCCAUCAGGGCCACAGUACAGUGCAACAGAAUGAAAAAUAGAAAUCAAGUCUCAAAUAAUAUACAUGUUCAUGAUCAAAAACGCCACCCAGGGUAUUAUACCAAUUAGGAGAGUGGUCAAUCCGCCAUCUCCGCAUCCUCUCGGCGUUAAACCGGCUAAUCGUAUCCUUCGCUUUCACAAGAUUCAUCGUGUCGUUCAAUCUCGACAGGCCCUUCGGACCCUUCAUCAUCAGCUAAUCCGCACUGUGUACGACCGCCGAUGCUGGCUUUAUUAUCCACGAGAGAAAGUAAUCGGUCACGUUCAUGGAUCCACUGCAUACUAUUGAAUGUAUAAUCGUCAGGAGCCCAUCCUUCCUUCAUCAUAGUGUUCACGGCAUUCGCAGUCUCAUCCACCAUCUGCAUUGUAGAAAAUCCUGCGACGGCCACAUUCCAAGUGACCUCAUUGAACUUCAAACCUUGCUCUUGCAUCAUGACGCGAAUCUUGUCGACGGCGUUGGGGUGUCGAUUGCGGACAAACGCGGUAAGGAGAAUGGUCCACGUCUGAACGGUCGGUUUAACUUGCUUGAUUUGGCGGUUGCUUUGAGAUCGCAGAAUUGCGGUGGGAGGAAGUGGUUGUAGCAUCGUAUCCAGUACCCUGACGCAGUUUUUUAGCCGACCCGAACGCCGCUGCGCAAACUCCUGGAGAAACACGUUAAAUAUAUAGUCACUUUCCGCCAGCGGUCCGAAAGACUCAUGCCCUUGGUCGCGAAGGUAUAGAAAACGAUCGAACAUGUUAUUGAUUUGACGAACGCUCUGAAUCCUCAGAAACGCAGAAAUCAUGAUAACAAGAGAAUGGCUGG
rnacentral:sRNA from 2 species